GAUGAAGAACGUAGCGAAAUGCGAUACGUAAUGUGAAUUGCAGAAUUCAGUGAAUCAUCGAGUCUUUGAACGCACAUUGCGCCCCCUGGUAUUCCGGUGGGCAUGCCUGUCCGAGCGUCAUUGCUGCCCUCAAGCACGGCUUGUGUGUUGGGCCUCCGUCCUCCUCCCGGGGGACGGGCCCGAAAGGCAGCGGCGGCACCGCGUCCGGUCCUCGAGCGUAUGGGGCUUCGUCACCCGCUCUUGUAGGCCCGGCCGGCGCUUGCCGACACAUCAAUCUUUUUUCCAGGUUGACCUCGGAUCAGGUAGGGAUACCCGCUGAACUUAAGCAUAUCAAUAAGCGGAGGA
rnacentral:misc_RNA from 1 species